rnacentral:rRNA from 1 species
UGGGGAAUAUUGGACAAUGGGCGAAAGCCUGAUCCAGCCAUGCCGCGUGUGUGAAGAAGGUCUUCGGAUUGUAAAGCACUUUAAGUUGGGAGGAAGGGCAGUAAGCGAAUACCUUGCUGUUUUGACGUUACCGACAGAAUAAGCACCGGCUAACUCUGUGCCAGCAGCCGCGGUAAUACAGAGGGUGCAAGCGUUAAUCGGAAUUACUGGGCGUAAAGCGCGCGUAGGUGGUUCGUUAAGUUGAAUGUGAAAGCCCCGGGCUCAACCUGGAAACUGCAUCCAAAACUGGCGAGCUAGAGUAGGGCAGAGGGUGGUGGAAUUUCCUGUGUAGCGGAGAAAUGCGUAGAUAUAGGAAGGAACACCAGUGGCGAAGGCGACCACCUGGGCUCAUACUGACACUGAGGUGCGAAAGCGUGGGGAGCAAACAGG